CUGGUCUACACCAAAAUGGCGAUGUUUAUAUUUUUUGUAUUUGAAUAUGAAUAUUGAAAUUCGAAAACGACGAGAACCCAACAACCGAACAUUAUAGAGAAUUAUCAUUGCCAAAACUCUAGUAAAAUUUUUUCACAUUUCUCAGGAAUAUGGAAUGUGACCACAAGAGACCAAAGCAACAAAUCGUUUGGCCCUUUUUCCUAGAGUCGAACGAGGUAUUGCAAGUAGAAGAGAAUGAACAGGAACAAAACUUCAAGCUUCAAGGGAGUAAAAUUAACAGGCAGGUUGAAGUAUGUUUAAGUAAAGCUGAUGGUUUGCUUUCUUCAUCAAAACAUGAAACUGUCAAGAUUCUUAAGGAACAAGCAUCUGUAUGAGCGACUGGAAUUUCAAAAGAACAAAGCAGCCUUCGAUUUCAGUGCUGAUGAUCCAAUUUGGAUUGUCAGUGGCCAGAAUCAGAAAACUCCAAACCAAAUGAAGUAGAGAAAGGCAUACAAAGAUGCUGAGCAGUUGUGGUAUUGAGGUGGAGCGAAAAUUACCAACCACUUUUUCGAGCUAUGAUAGGAGACUUACUUGCAUGUUGUCAAGUUGUGGAACUAUAAGAAGUAUUCAAUCAAAAUCCUUGGCAGAAAAAUGAUGCUGAACUUAUAUUAUUGGAAGGAACAAGCAACAAAAGUUGUCCAGUUUGCCAGUUUGAUUAAACACUUUAUCAAGAUUUGGAAAGAGGAAGAAGGAGAAUUCAACAUUAAGAAAAAGGAGCUGAACGUAUUGGAAAUCUAUAGCUAGAAAUUGUUGACAAGUGUAGAACAAUCUAUUUGGAAAGUUAAAAUCACAGAACCUGGAAUCCAGAAGAAAAAUUAAUAUGGGGAUAGAAAGGAUACAAGGAAAUCUCCAGUUCAAAAUUUUGCUCAAUCCAUGAGAUUGUUACUAGUUGUUAUAUUUCUUCUUUUGUGAGCUCAUCUAGCUACAUUUUCAAAUCACUCACUUGGAAGUGCCUAAAGAAGCUUAUCUUCAAUCAUUCUCUUCUACCAGCAUGUCAGCACAAACAAAGUAAAUAUCUGUGAUUGUAUAAGCCUCCACCUGAUUAUUUCAUCUUGAAUAUUUUUUGUAUCAGUUGAAUCAUUGUAAGAUUCUCAAAAUUUUAAUCAUUCCAUGAGAUUGUUUCUUGUUAAUUUGUCUUUUGUGAGCUCAUCUGGCUACAAGAUUCUUUUCAAGGAAGGGCCAGCACUGCAAUCAUUUCCUUCCACCAGUAUGUCAACACAAAGUUUGAGCUUUUUGUAAAGGAAGGGAAAUCCUCUGAAGGGAAUGGUUGAAGAUAUUUUUCUUGAAAAUCUUUCUAAGAAGUCUGAGACGGCCUAAAAUGUCAUGACGAAGAUCAAACAUGCUAGAUUUUCGUGAAUUGUGAAAUAAAACUGACUUGUUUUUGCAAAAUUUAGUGGAUGAGAUACCAAAUUACUCUAGGAGGUAACUGUGUGGAAACUUCCCCAUCUAAAUCGAGUUCGCCUUUAAGUAGGAACAGUUUUUUACUUAUUUCUUAUGAUAUCUGCUCAUCUGAUGUAUACUAUUCUAAUGAUUUUUUUUUCUUUCGUAUGAGCAAUCAUACAGUUUCCAAUCUUCCUUCAAUAUCUUCCAGAGGUUACUGAUUUUAAAUUGAAUCGAUCAAUGUAUCAAUAAUUGAUUCCAUAUUGAGGCACUAUUAAUUUAGUUACUGAAUAGAAUAAUUAUAUGCUCAAAUACUUAAAUUGUAUGUUACUUCCAAUCAAUGAAUAAAGGUGAUUUCUAUGUCUGAA